rnacentral:rRNA from 1 species
UACGUAGGGCGCAAGCGUUGUCCGGAAUUAUUGGGCGUAAAGAGCUCGUAGGCGGCCAGUUGCGUCUGCUGUGAAAUCCCGGGGCUCAACCCCGGGCGUGCAGUGGAUACCGGCUGGCUAGAGGCAGGCAGGGGAGAACGGAAUUCCCGGUGUAGCGGUGAAAUGCGCAGAUAUCGGGAGGAACACCGGUGGCGAAGGCGGUUCUCUGGGCCUGUACUGACGCUGAGGAGCGAAAGCGUGGGGAGCGAACAGG